rnacentral:rRNA from 1 species
AAUUUGGGUUUUUAACUUAGGUUUGGGUGGCGGACGGGUGAGUAACGCGUAAAGAACUUGCCUCACAGCUAGGGACAACAUUUGGAAACGAAUGCUAAUACCUAAUAUUAUGAUAAUAGGGCAUCCUAUAAUUAUGAAAGCUAUAAGCGCUGUGAGAGAGCUUUGCGUCCCAUUAGCUAGUUGGAGAGGUAACGGCUCACCAAGGCGAUGAUGGGUAGCCGGCCUGAGAGGGUGAUCGGCCACAAGGGGACUGAGACACGGCCCUUACUCCUACGGGAGGCAGCAGUGGGGAAUAUUGGACAAUGGACCAAGAGUCUGAUCCAGCAAUUCUGUGUGCACGAUGAAGUUUUUCGGAAUGUAAAGUGCUUUCAGUUGGGAAGAAAGAAAUGACGGUACCAACAGAAGAAGUGACGGCUAAAUACGUGCCAGCAGCC